UCGCGCCGGGGCCGGCCUGGCCGCGCGCGCCCCGGACGGGAAAGGGCUGGACUGGGCAGGAGCGCGCGCGCGCGCGCGACCACGCUCGCCAGAGUCCCGCCCCAUCCAACGCUGGCCGGAGCCGGGCGCCGCGUCCGCUCAGGGUGGGACAGAACCCUAAGUUGGCCACCUUUACCCUGCGCCGCCUCUCACCCGGGAGGGGCACGGGGGAAGGGGCCGUGGGCCUCUCGGUUAACGAGCUUCGGGGGUUGCGGCGGGUUAGUGACAGGCGCGCUUGGCAAUCGCCUGUGCCGCUUUGCUUGGGAGCACUCGAACUGGCGCCCGGAAGACGUGAUUUUCAAAGCUAAUUAUGAAAACAUUUGUCAUUGGAAUCGGUGGUGUGACAAAUGGUGGGAAGACAACACUGGCUAAGAAUUUGCAGAAACGCCUUCCAAACUGCAGUAUCAUAUCUCAGGAUAAUUUCUUUAAGCCAGAGUCUGAGAUAGAGACAGAUGAAAAUGGAUUUCUUCAGUAUGAUGUGCUUGAAGCACUUAACAUGGAGGAAAUGAUGUCCGCCAUUUCCUGCUGGAUGGAAAGCGCAGCACACCCUCUGGCAUCAACAGACAGGGGAAACACUGAGGAAAUUCCCAUCUUAAUUAUCGAAGGUUUCCUUCUCUAUAAUUAUAAGCCCCUUGACACUAUAUGGAAUAGAAGCUAUUUUCUGACCAUUCCGUAUGAAGAAUGUAAGAGGAGGAGGAGUACAAGGAUCUACGAGCCUCCAGACACCCCAGGGUACUUUGAGGGCCACGUGUGGCCCAUGUAUCUAAAGCACAGAAAAGAAAUGGAGAACAUCUCAUGGGAAAUCGUUUACCUAGAUGGAACAAAAUCUGAAGAGGACCUCUUUUCACAAGUGUAUGAAGACCUAAUACAAGAACUAGCAAAGCAAAAGUGUCUGCAAGUGACAGCGUAAAGUUGGAAUGCACUGAAUCCUUCCUGGAGUGAAUUAGGAAAUUCAAAGGAAUCUAUGCAAGAACCUUAACCAAGAUACAAUGUGUACUUCGAUCUAUCAUCUGUAAGUCUGAAGGUUAUAUUGGAGGACUUUCUUAAAACUUCAAAGUGACCAUGAUGAAAACAUCCAACAGGGAAGAAAUUUCCAACAGUGACGAUGCUUCUGUAAAAGUAUGGUAUUUAUUUUACUGUAUGGGCAUUUGGACUUCUAUCUAGUGGCCUUUAAAUUUAUAGAAAUAACUAACCUUUAUUGAACACCUACCGUGUUUCAGGUAUGGUGUCAAGUAUUGUCAAGAAAACUUUCCAAAACUGGGAAAUAGGCAGAAGGGCUACUGCAUGUCCUUUCAGAGUUAUCUAAGCAUUUUCUAGCCAACCCACCUUAGCCAGUUCUCUGGGAGUGUGUAUCUUUGUUUGACUUGCUAUUUUCUCUUCAUUAGCAUAUUUUAAAUUUCAUAAGAGUAGAUGUUAACUUGUAGAAAUUGAUAGACAGGGUUUCUCAAGCUCAGCACUAUUGGGAUUGGGGGCUGGAAAAUUCUUUUUUGCGGGGGGAGGGCUGUCCUGUACGUUGAAGGAUGUUUAGGACCAUGCCUGUUCUCUACCCGCUAGACGCCAGUAGCACUCACACAUACCCUCACCCCCCAGCUGUAACAACCAAAAAUGUCUUCAGCCAUUGCCAAAUGUCCCCUGGAAAGAGAAAUUACCCCCACUUGAGAACAGCUGAUGAUUGUGAUGAAAAUGAAAUUUGUUCACUAGAGAUGCAAAUUAUUUAUCUGGUAAAGAAGACAACCCCAAAAGUUACAGUUUUAUUGCCCUGUACAUCAACCAGUUUUGUAUCUAAAUUAGCCAGCUUUUUCAAGCCUUUUUCUUUAGCCACUGUAAAUACUUUGCUC